UACAGAGGUCUCAAGCGUUGUUCGGAUUCAUUGGGCGUAAAGGGUGCGUAGGUGGCGGGGUAAGUCAGGUGUGAAAUUUCGGAGCUUAACUCCGAAACUGCAUUUGAUACUGCCUUGCUUGAGGACUGGAGAGGAGACUGGAAUUCACGGUGUAGCAGUGAAGUGCGUAGAGAUCGUGAGGAAGACCAGUGGCGAAGGCGGGUCUCUGGACAGUUCCUGACACUGAGGCACGAAGGCCAGGGGAGCAAACGGG
rnacentral:rRNA from 1 species